rnacentral:rRNA from 1 species
GACGAACGCUGGCGGCGUGCUUAACACAUGCAAGUCGAACGAUGAAACCUAGCUUGCUAGGUCGAUUAGUGGCGAACGGGUGAGUAACACGUGACUAACCUGCCCCUUUCUCUGGGAUAACGCUCCGAAAGGAGUGCUAAUACCGGAUACUCACACCGAGGCACAUGCCUUGGUGUGGAAAGUUUUUCGGAAAGGGAUGGAGUCGCGGCCUAGCAGCUUGUUGGUGAGGUAACGGCUCACCAAGGCGACGACGGGUAGCCGGCCUGAGAGGGCGACCGGCAAGAAUGGGACUGGCACACGGCCCGGACUCCUACGGGAGGCAGCGGUGGGGAAUAUUGCUCAAUGGGCGCAAGCCUGAUGCAGCGAGGCCGCGUGAGGGAUGAAGGUCUUCGGAUUGUAAACCUCUUUCAGUAGGGACUAAGCGAAAGUGACGGUACCUAAAGAAGAAGCACCGGCUAACUACGUGCCAGCCGCCGCCGUAA